rnacentral:rRNA from 1 species
GCCCCUUCGGGGGUAUCGAGUGGCGAACGGGUGAGUAACACGUGGGCAAUCUGCCCUGCACUUCGGGAUAAGCCUGGGAAACUGGGUCUAAUACCGGAUAGGACCUUUAGGCGCAUGUCUUUAGGUGGAAAGCUUUUGCGGUGUGGGAUGGGCCCGCGGCCUAUCAGCUUGUUAGUGGGGUGAUGGCCUACCAAGGCGACGACGGGUAGCCGGCCUGAGAGGGUGUCCGGCCACACUGGGACUGAGAUACGGCCCAGACUCCUACGGGAGGCAGCAGUGGGGAAUAUUGCACAAUGGGCGCAAGCCUGAUGCAGCGACGCCGCGUGGGGGAUGACGGCCUUCGGGUUGUAAACCUCUUUCACCAUCGACGAAGGUCCGGGUUUUCUCGGAUUGACGGUAGGUGGAGAAGAAGCACCGGCCAACUACGUGCCAGCAGCCGCGGUAAUACGUAGGGUGCGAGCGUUGUCCGGAAUUACUGGGCGUAAAGAGCUCGUAGGUGGUUUGUCGCGUUGUUCGUGAAAUCUCACGGCUUAACUGUGAGCGUGCGGGCGAUACGGGCAGACUAGAGUACUGCAGGGGAGACUGGAAUUCCUGGUGUAGCGGUGGAAUGCGCAGAUAUCAGGAGGAACACCGGUGGCGAAGGCGGGUCUCUGGGCAGUAACUGACGCUGAGGAGCGAAAGCGUGGGGAGCGAACAGGAUUAGAUACCCUGGUAGUCCACGCCGUAAACGGUGGGUACUAGGUGUGGGUUUCCUUCCUUGGGAUCCGUGCCGUAGCUAACGCAUUAAGUAC